rnacentral:lncRNA from 1 species
CCCCCAUUUAAGCGAAAAUCACGCGUUUUCUCUUCGCAAAUCCCCCAUUUAAGCGAAAAUCACGCGUUUUCUCUUCGCAAAUCCCCCAUUUAAGCGAAAAUCACGCGUUUUCUCUUCGCAAAUCCCCCAUUUAAGCCGAAAAUCACGCGUUUUCUCUUCGCAAAUCCCCCAUUUAACCGAAAAUCACGCGUUUUCUCUUCCAAAUCCCCCAUUUAAGCGAAAAUCACGCGUUUUCUCUUCGAGAAUCCCCCAUUUAACGAAAAAUCACGCGUUUUCUCUUCGCAAAUCCCCCAUUUAAGCCGAAAAUCACGCGUUUUCUCUUCGCAAAUCCCCCAUUUAACCCGAAAAUCACGCGUUUUCUCUUCGCAAAUCCCCCAUUUAAGCGAAAAUCACGCGUUUUCUCUUCAGCAAAUCCCCCAUUUAACUCGAAAAUCACGCGUUUUCUCUUCGCAAAUCCCCCAUUUAAGCGAAAAUCACGCGUUUUCUCUUCGGAAAUCCCCAUUUAAUUCGAAAAUCACGCGUUUUCUCUUCGAGAAUCCCCCAUUUAAGCCCGAAAAUCACUGUGUUUUCUCUUCGAGAAUCCCUCAUUUAACCCGAAAUCACGCGUUUUCUCUUCAGAAAUCUCCCAUUUAACCCGAAAAUCACGCGUUUUCUCUUCGAAGAAUCCCCCAUUUAAGCGAAAAUCACGCGUUUUCUCUUCGCAAAUCCCCCAUUUAACUCGAAAAUGACGCGUUUUCUCUUUGCAAAUCCCCCAUUUAACCAAAAAUCACGCGUUUUCUCUUCGCAAAUCCCCCAUUUAACUCGAAAAUGACGCAUUUUCUCUUCACAAAUCCCCCAUAUAGGCGAAAAUCACGCGUUUUCUCUUCGCAAAUCCCCCAUUUAACUCGAAAAUCACGCAGUAUCCUCUUCGCAAAUCCCCCAUUUAACUCGAAAAUGACGUGUUUUCUCUUGGAGAAUCUUCCAUUUAACCCGAAAAUCACGCAUAUCCUCUUCGCAAAUCCCCCAUUUAACCCGAAAAUCACGCGUUUUCUCUUGGAGAAUCUUCCAUUUAACCCGAAAAUCACGCAUUUUCUCUUCGCAAAUCCCCCAUUUAACCCGAAAAUCACGCAUUUUCUCUUCGGAAAUCCCCCAUUUAACCAAAAAUCAUGUGUUUUCUCUUCGAGAAUUCCCAUUUCUAACCCGAAAAUCACGCGUUUUCUCUUCGAGAAUCCCCCAUUUAACCCGAAAAUCACGCGUUUUCUCUUCCAAAUCCUUCAUUUAAGCGAAAAUCACGCGUUUUCUCUUCGCAAAUCCCCCAUUUAACCCGAAAAUCACGUGUUUUCUCUUCGCAAAUCCCCCAUUUAACCCGAAAAUCACGCGUUUUCUCUUUGCAAAUCCACCUUUUAACUCGAAAAUCACUCGUUUUCUCUUCAAGAAUCCCCCAUUGAAGCGAAAAUCACGCGUUUUCUCUUCGCAAAUCCCCCAUUUAACUCGAAAAUGACGCGUUUUCUCUUCGCAAAUCCCCCAUUUAACUCGAAAAUCACUCAGUAUCCUCCUCGCAAAUCCGCCAUUUAACCCGAAAAUCACGCAUUUUCUCUUCGGAAAUCCCCCAUUUAACCAAAAAUCAUGCGUUUUCUCUUCGCAAAUCCCCCAUUUAAGCGAAAAUCACGCGUUUUCUCUUCGCAAAUCCCCCAUUUAACCGAAAAUCACGCGUUUUCUCUUCGCAAAUCCCCCAUUUAAGCGAAAAUCACGCGUUUUUCUCUUCGCAAAUCCCCCAUUUAACCGAAAAUCACGCGUUUUCUCUUCGCAAAUCCCCCAUUUAAGCGAAAAUCACGCGUUUUCUCUUCGCAAAUCCCCCAUUUAAGCCGAAAAUCACGCGUUUUCUCUUCGCAAAUCCCCCAUUUAAGCGAAAAUCACGCGUUUUCUCUUCGCAAAUCCCCCAUUUAAGCCGAAAAUCACGCGUUUUCUCUUCGCAAAUCCCCCAUUUAACCCGAAAAUCACGCGUUUUCUCUUCGCAAAUCCCCCAUUUAAGCGAAAAUCACGCGUUUUCUCUUCGCAAAUCCCCCAUUUAAGCGAAAAUCACGCGUUUUCUCUUCGCAAAUCCCCCAUUUAAGCGAAAAUCACGCGUUUUCUCUUCGAGAAUCCCCCAUUUAACCCGAAAAUCACUCAUUUUCUCUUCAAGAAUCCCUCAUUUAACCCGAAUAUCAUACGCUUUCUCUUCAGAAAUCUUCCAUUUAACCCGAAAAUCACUCGUUUUCUCUUCAAGAAUCCCCCAUUUAAGCGAAAAUCACGCGUUUUCUCUUCGCAAAUCCCCCAUUUAACUCGAAAAUGACGCAUUUUCUCUUUGCAAAUCCCCCAUUUAACUCGAAAAUGACGCGUUUUCUCUUCGCAAAUCCCCCAUUUAACUCGAAAAUGACGUGUUUUCUCUUCGCAAAUCCCCCAUUUAACUCGAAAAUCACGCAUAUCCUCCUCGCAAAUCCGCCAUUUAACCCGAAAAUCAUGCGUUUUCUCUUGGAGAAUCUUCCAUUUAACCCGAAAAUCACUCAUAUCCUCUGCGCAAAUCCCCAUUUAACCCGAAAAUGACGCGUUUUCUCUUUGCAAAUCCCCCAUUUAACCGGAAAAUCACGCGUUUUCUCUUCGAGAUUCCCCCAUUUAACCCGAAAAUCACGCGUUUUCUAUUUGCAAAUCCACCUUUUAACUCGAAAAUCACGGUUUUCUCUUCGCAAAUCCCCCAUUUAAGCGAAAAUCACGCGUUUUCUCUUCGCUAAUACCCCAUUUAACUAAAAAUCACGUGUUUUCUCUUCGAGAAUCCCCCAUUUAACCCGAAAAUCACGCGUUUUCUCUUCAGAAAUCUUCCAUUUAACCCGAAAAUCACUCGUUUUCUCUUCAAGAAUCCCCCAUUUAAGCGAAAAUCACGCGUUUUCUCUUCGCAAAUCCCCCAUUUAACUCGAAAAUGACGCGUUUUCUCUUUGCAAAUCCCCCAUUUAAGCGAAAAUCACGCGUUUUCUCUUCGCAAAUCCCCCAUUUAACUCGAAAAUGACGCGUUUUCUCUUCGCAAAUCCCCCAUUUAACUCGAAAAUCACUCAGUAUCCUCCUCGCAAAUCCGCCAUUUAACCCGAAAAUCACGCAUUUUCUCUUCGAAAUCCCCCAUUUAACCGAAAAUCACGUGUUUUCUCUUCGAGAAUUCCCCAUUUUAACCGAAAAUCACGCGUUUUCUCUUCGAGAAUCCCCCAUUUAACCCGAAAAUCACGCGUUUUCUCUUCGCAAAUCCCUCAUUUAAGCGAAAAUCACGCGUUUUCUCUUCGCAAAUCCCCCAUUUAACCGAAAAUCACGUGUUUUCUCUUCGCAAAUCCCCCAUUUAACCCGAAAAUCACGCGUUUUCUCUUCGCAAAUCCCCCAUUUAACGCGAAAAUCACGCGUUUUCUCUUCGCAAAUCCCCCAUUUAAGCGAAAAUCACGCGUUUUCUCUUCGCAAAUCCCCCAUUUAACUCGAAAAUCACGCGUUUUCUCUUCGAAAUCCCCCAUUUAACGCGAAAAUCACGCGUUUCUCCUUCGCAAAUCCCCAUUUAACCCGAAAAUCACGCGUUUUCUCUUCGAAAUCCCCCAUUUAAGCCAAAAUCACGCGUUUUCUCUUCGAGAAUCCCCCAUUUAAGCGAAAAUCACGCGUUUUCUCUUCGCAAAUCCCCCAUUUAAGCGAAAAUCACUGCGUUUUCUCUUCGAAUCCCCAUUUAACCCGAAAAUCACGCGUUUUCUCUUCGCAAAUCCCCCAUUUAAGCCAAAAUCACGCGUUUUUCUCUUCGAGCAAUCCCCCAUUUAAGCGAAAAAUCACGCGUUUUCUCUUCGCAGAAUCCCCCAUUUAACCUGAAAAUCACGCGUUUUCUCUUCGAGAAUCCCCCAUUUAACCGAAAAUCACGCGUUUUCUCUUCGGAAAUCCCCCAUUGAAGCGAAAAUCACGCAUUUUCUCUUCGAGAAUCCCCCAUUUAACCCGAAAAUCACGCGUUUUCUCUUCGAGAUUCCCCAUUUAAGCCGAAAAUCACGCGUUUUCUCUUUGCAAAUCCACCUUUUAACCGAAAAUCACGUUUCUUUUUGAGAAUCCCCCAUUUAAGCGAAAAUCACGCGUUUUCCUCUUCGCUAAUACCCCAUUUAACUAAAAUCACGCGUUUUCUCAUCAAGAAUCCCCCAUUUAAGCGAAAAUCAGGUAUUUUCGCUUCGCAAAUCCCCCAUUUAAGCGAAAAUCAUGUGUUUUCUCUUCGAGAAUCCCCCAUUUAACCCGAAAAUCACGCGUUUUCUCUUCGCAAAUCCCCCAUUUAAGCAAAAAUCACGCAUUUUCUCCUCGAGAAUCCCCCAUUUAACUUAAAAAUCACGCGUUUUCUCUUCGCAAAUCCCCCAUUUAAGCAAAAAUCACGCGUUUUCUCUUCGAGAAUCCCCCAUUUAACCCGAAAAUCACGCGUUUUCUCUUCGCAAAUCCCCCAUUUAACCCGAAAAAUCACGCGUUUUCUCUUCGCAAAUCCCCCAUUUAAGCAAAAAUCACGCGUUUUUCUCGUCGCAAAUCCCCCAUUUAAGCAAAAAUCACGCGUUUUCUCUUCGCAAAUCCCCCAUUUAACCCGAAAAUCACACGUUUUCUCUUUGCAAAUCCCCCAUUUAAGCGAAAAUCACGCGUUUUCCUCUUCGCAUAUCUUCCCAUUUAAGCGAAAAUCACGCGUUUUCUCUUCGAGAAUCCCCCAUUUAAGCGAAAAUCACGCAUUUUCUCCUCGAGAAUCCCCCAUUUAACUUGAAAAUCACGCGUUUUCUCUUCGCAAAUCCCCCAUUUAAGCGAAAAUCACGCGUUUUCUCUUCGAGAAUCCCCCAUUUAACCCGAAAAUCACGCGUUUUCUCUUCGCAAAUCCCCCAUUUAACCCGAAAAUCACGCGUUUUCUCUUCGCAAAUCCCCCAUUUAAGCAAAAAUCACGCGUUUUCUCUUCGCAAAUCCCCCAUUUAAGCGAAAAUCACGCGUUUUCCUCUUCGCAAAUCCCCCAUUUAAGCCGAAAAUCACAGCGUUUUCUCUUCGCAAAUCCCCCAUUUAAGCGAAAAUCACGCGUUUUCUCUUCGCAUAAUCUCCCCAUUUAAGCGAAAAUCACGCGUUUUCUCUUCGAGAAUCCCCCAUUUAAGCGAAAAUCACGCGUUUUCUCUUCGCAAAUCCCCCAUUUAACCGAAAAUCACGCGUUUUCUCUUCGCAAAUCCCCCAUUUAAGCUGAAAAUCACGCGUUUUCUCUUCGCAAAUCCCCCAUUUAACCAAAAAUCACGCAUUUUCUCUUCGAGAAUCCCCCAUUUAACCGAAAAUCACGCGUUUUCUCUUUGCAAAUUCCCCAUUUAAGCAAAAAUCACGUGUUUUCUCUUCGAGAAUCCCCCAUUUAAGCGAAAAUCACGCGUUUUCUCUUCGUAAAUCCCCCAUUUAACUUGAAAAUCAAGCGUUUUCUCUUCGCAAAUCCCCCAUUUAACCCGAAAAUCACGCGUUUUCUCUUCGCAAAUCCCCCAUUUAAGCGAAAAUCACACGUUUUCUCUUCACAAAUCCCCCAUUUAAGCAAAAAUCACGCGUUUUCUCUUCGCAAAUCCCCCAUUUAACCCGAAAAUCACGCGUUUUCUCUUCGAGAAUCCCCCAUUUAACCGAAAAUCACGCGUUUUCUCUUCGAGAAUCCCCCAUUUAACCCAAAAAUCAUGCGUUUUCUCUUCGAGAAUCCCCCAUUUAAGCGAAAAUCACGCGUUUUCUCUUCGCAAAUCCCCCAUUUAACCCGAAAAUCACGCGUUUCCUCUUUAGAAUCCCCACUUUAACUUAAAAAUCACGCAUUUUCUCUUCGCAAAUCCCCCAUUUAAGCAAAAAUCACGCGUUUUCUCUUCGCAAAUCCCCCAUUUAAGCAAAAAUCACGCGUUUUCUCUUCGAGAAUUUUCCAUUUAACCCGAAAAUCACGCAUUUUCUCUUUGCAAAUCUCCCAUUUAAGCGAAAAUCACACGUUUUCUCUUCGCAAAUCCCCCAUUUAAGCGAAAAAUCACGCGUAUUCUCUUCGCAAAUCCCCCAUUUUAGCGAAAAUCACGCGUUUUCUCUUCGCAAAUCCCCCAUUUAAGCGAACAUCACGCGUUUUCUCUUCGCAAAUCCCCCAUUUAAGCGAAAAUCACGCGUUUUCUCUUCGCAAAUCCCCCAUUUAACCCGAAAACCACGCGUUUUCUCUUCGCAAAUCCCCCAUUUAUGCAAAAAUCACGCGUUUUCUCUUCGAGAAUCCCCCAUUUAACCAAAAAUCACGCGUUUUCUCUUUGAGAAUCCCCCAUUUAACCCGAAAAUCACGCGUUUUCUCUUUGCAAAUCCCCCAUUUAAGCAAAAAUCACGCGUUUUCUCGUCGCAAAUCCCCCAUUUAACCCGAAAAUCACGCGUUUUCUCUUUGAGAAUCCCCCAUUUAAGCGAAAAUCACGCGUUUUCUCUUCGCAAAUCCCCCAUUUAAGCGAAAAUCACGCGUAUUCGCUUCGCAAAUCCCCCAUUUAACCCAAAAAUCACGCGUUUUCUCUUCGAGAAUCCCCCAUUUAACCCGAAAAUCACACGUUUUCUCUUCGAGAAUCCCCCAUUUAACCCGAAAAUCACGCGUUUUCUCUUCGCAAAUCCCCCAUUUAAGCAAAAAUCACGCAUUUUCUCUUCGCAAAUCCCCGAUUUAACCCAAAAAUCACGCGUUUUCUCUUCGCACAUCCCCCAUUUAAUCGAAAAUCACGCGUUUUCUCUUUGCAAAUCUCCCAUUUAAGCGAAAAUCACGCGUUUUCUCUUCGCAAAUCCCCCAUUUAACCCGAAAAUCACGCGUUUUCUCUUCGCAAAUCCCCCAUUUAAGCGAAAAAUCACGCGUUUUCUCUUCGCAAAUCCCCCAUUUAAGCGAAAAUCACGCGUUUUCUCUUCGCAAAUCCCCCAUUUAAGCGAACAUCACGCGUUUUCUCUUCGCAAAUCCCCCAUUUAACCCGAAAAUCACGCGUUUUCUCUUCGCAAAUCCCCCAUUUAACCCGAAAAUCACGCGUUUUCUCUUUGCAAAUCCCCCAUUUAACCCGAAAAUCACGCGUUUUCUCGUCGCAAAUCCCCCAUUUAAGCAAAAAUCACGCGUUUUCUCUUCGCAAAUCCCCCAUUUAACCCGAAAAUCACGCGUUUUCUCUUCGCAAAUCCCCCAUUUAACCCGAAAAUCACGCGUUUUCUCUUCACAAAUCCCCCAUUUAAGCGAAAAUCACGCGUUUUCUCUUCGCAAAUCCCCCAUUUAACCCAAAAAUCACGCGUUUUCUCUUCGCAAAUCCCCCAUUUAAGCGAAAAUCACGCGUAUUCGCUUCGCAAAUCCCCCAUUUAACCCAAAAAUCACGCGUUUUCUCUUCGAGAAUCCCCCAUUUAACCCGAAAAUCACACGUUUUCUCUUCGAGAAUCCCCC